rnacentral:rRNA from 1 species
UACGGAAGGCAGCAGUGGGGAAUAUUGCACAAUGGGCGAAAGCCUGAUGCAGCUAUGCCGCGUGUAUGAAGAAGGCCUUAGGGUUGUAAAGUACUUUCAUCGGGGAGGAAAAACAAAACUAAUAAUUUUAUUUCUUGACGUUACCCGAAAAAGAAGCACCGGCUAACUCCGUGCCAGCAGCCGCGGUAAUACGGAGGGUGCUAGCGUUAAUCAGAAUUACUGGGCGUAAAGAGCACGUAGGUGGUUUUUUUAAGUCAGAUGUGAAAUCCCUGGGCUUAACCUAGGAACUGCAUUUUGAAACUGAAAUACUAGAGUAUCGUAGAGGGAGGUAGAAUUCUAGGUGUAGCGGUGAAAUGCGUAGAUAUCUGGAGGAAUACCUGUGGCGAAAGCGGCCUCCUAAACGAAUACUGACACUGAGUGCGAAAGCGUGGGGAGCAAACAGGGAUUAGAUACC